rnacentral:ribozyme from 1 species
CAAAAAUACAACAAAGAAAAUAACAAAGAAAAUAACAAAGAAAAAUGAAAGAGAAAGGAGAGAAAAUGCCAUGGAGAGUGAUAUUCCAUGAUCA